GAUAAACGCUGGCGGCGUGCUUAACACAUGCCAGUCGAACGAAGUUUUUCCUUCGGGAGCAACUUAGUGGCGGGCGGGUGAGUAACGCGUGGGUAACCUGCCCUGUACAGGGGGACAACAGCUGGAAACGGCUGCUAAUACCGCAUAAGCACUUAGCACUGCAUGGUGCAUAGGGAAAAGGAGCAAUCCGGUACAGGAUGGACCCGCGUCUGAUUAGCCAGUUGGCAGGGUAACGGCCUACCAAAGCGACGAUCAGUAGCCGAUCUGAGAGGAUGUACGGCCACAUUGGGACUGAGACACGGCCCAGACUCCUACGGGAGGCAGCAGUGGGGAAUAUUGCACAAUGGAGGAAACUCUGAUGCAGCGACGCCGCGUGAGUGAAGAAGUAUUUCGGUAUGUAAAGCUCUAUCAGCAGGGAAGAAAAUGACGGUACCUGACUAAGAAGCACCGGCUAAAUACGUG
rnacentral:rRNA from 1 species